rnacentral:rRNA from 1 species
GAUGAACGCUAGCUACAGGCUUAACACAUGCAAGUCGAGGGGCAGCGCGCUGGUGCAGCAAUGCAUUGGUGGCGGCGACCGGCGGAUGGGUGAGUAACGCGUAUCCAACCUGCCCCCGGCCCGGGCACAGCCCAUGGAAACGUGGAUUAACGCCCGAUGCGCCUAAGAGCCGCAUGGCUUUUAGGUGAAACAGGCAGGGGAUGGGGAUGCGUCCCAUUAGGCAGCAGGCGGGGUAACGGCCCACCUGGCCGACGAUGGGUAGGGGUUCUGAGAGGAAGGUCCCCCACAUUGGGACUGAGACACGGCCCAAACUCCUACGGGAGGCAGCAGUGAGGAAUAUUGGUCAAUGGGCGUGAGCCUGAACCAGCCAAGUAGCGUGGAGGAAGGACGCCCUACGGGUUGUAAACUCCUUUAGUGCGGGAAUAACGUGCGCCACGUGUGGUGCAGUGCAGGUACCGCAAGAAUAAGGGCCGGCUAAUUCCGUGCCAGCAGCCGCGGUAAUACGGAAGGCCCGAGCGUUAUCCGGAUUUAUUAGGUUUAAAGGGAGCGCAGGCGGGAGCGUAAGUCAGCUGUUAAAAUGCGGCGCCCAACGCCGUAGUGCAGUUGAAACUGCGUUUCUUGAGUCCGCAAGAGGCAGGCGGAAUUUGUGGUGUAGCGGUGAAAUGCAUAGAUAUCACGAAGAACUCCGAUUGCGAAGGCAGCUUGCCGGGGCGCGACUGACGCUCAUGCUCGAAGGUGCGGGUAUCAAACAGGAUUAGAUACCCUGGUAGUCCGCACAGUAAACGAUGGAUGCCCGCGGUGCGGCCGUUAGGUUACGCCGCCAAGCGAAAGCGUUAAGCAUCCCACCUGGGGAGUACGCCGGCAACGGUGAAACUCAAAGGAAUUGACGGGGGCCCGCACAAGCGGAGGAACAUGUGGUUUAAUUCGAUGAUACGCGAGGAACCUUACCCGGGCUUGAAAUGCCCGCGCAGGCGGCUGGAGACGGCUGCCGUCCCUUCGGGGCGCGGGUGUAGGUGCUGCAUGGUUGUCGUCAGCUCGUGCCGUGAGGUGUCGGCUCAAGUGCCAUAACGAGCGCAACCCCUCUCUCCAGUUGCCAUCGGGCAAUGCCGGGAACUCUGGAGACACUGCCAUCGCAAGAUGUGAGGAAGGCGGGGACGACGUCAAAUCAGCACGGCCCUUACGUCCGGGGCUACACACGUGUUACAAUGGGGGGCACAGCGAGUUGGGCGCCGGCGACGGCGUCCGGAUCAAGAAAUCCCCUCCCAGUUCGGACUGGAGCCUGCAACCCGGCUCCACGAAGCUGGAUUCGCUAGUAAUCGCGCAUCAGCCAUGGCGCGGUGAAUACGUUCCCGGGCCU